AGUUGUAGAUAAUUGAAUUAGCUUUCCAACCAUAGGUCGUGGGCUCCAAGGUGACGUCUGGACAAGGAGAUAUGAACGUUUUAAGUCCGGAAGGUCAGUGGGCUAGGCCCAACUCGGGCCCAACCGGGUUAGGCCCAUGACCCAUGUUAUAUAAGUGAUAUUUCAGCACUUCCCUCCUCAUUUUCAGAACUGGAACAACCAGAAAAUUCUGGAGAUAGAGAGAAAAAAAAAAAGCUUUGGAGAAGAAAAAUCAAUUUUGACCAAAAUCCGAGCCCCGAAUCCCGAAGCCCAUGAAGGAAAAAGUGUUGUACGGUGCAUUGUCUUCAAUUUGAGUUAAAAAUCAACCAAGGAGGGGGGUGAUAACGUGGUGGCCGAAUUCUUAAGAUUUCGGAGGAAACGGGAUUUGAGUUUGGACAAGCGUAAAAA